rnacentral:rRNA from 1 species
AUGAACGCUGGCGGCGUGCCUAAUACCUGCAAGUCGAGCGAACAGACGAGGAGCUUGCUCCUCUGACGUUAGCGGCGGACGGGUGAGUAACACGUGGAUAACCUACCUAUAAGACUGGGAUAACUUCGGGAAACCGGAGCUAAUACCGGAUAAUAUAUUGAACCGCAUGGUUCAAUAGUGAAAGACGGUUUUGCUGUCACUUAUAGAUGGAUCCGCGCCGCAUUAGCUAGUUGGUAAGGUAACGGCUUACCAAGGCAACGAUGCGUAGCCGACCUGAGAGGGUGAUCGGCCACACUGGAACUGAGACACGGUCCAGACUCCUACGGGAGGCAGCAGUAGGGAAUCUUCCGCAAUGGGCGAAAGCCUGACGGAGCAACGCCGCGUGAGUGAUGAAGGUCUUCGGAUCGUAAAACUCUGUUAUUAGGGAAGAACAAAUGUGUAAGUAACUAUGCACGUCUAGACGGUACCUAAUCAGAAAGCCACGGCUAACUACGUG